AACGCUUUACACAUGCAAGUCGAACGGUAACGCGGAGAGAAGCUUGCUUCUCUCCGGCGACGAGUGGCGAACGGGUGAGUAAUACAUCGGAACGUGUCCGCUCGUGGGGGACAACCAGCCGAAAGGUUGGCUAAUACCGCAUGAGUUCUACGGAAGAAAGAGGGGGACCCGCAAGGGCCUCUCGCGAGCGGAGCGGCCGAUGACUGAUUAGCCGGUUGGUGAGGUAACGGCUCACCAAAGCAACGAUCAGUAGCUGGUCUGAGAGGACGACCAGCCACACUGGGACUGAGACACGGCCCAGACUCCUACGGGAGGCAGCAGUGGGGAAUUUUGGACAAUGGGCGCAAGCCUGAUCCAGCUAUUCCGCGUGUGGGAUGAAGGCCCUCGGGUUGUAAACCACUUUUGUAGAGAACGAAAAGACACCUUCGAAUAAAGGGUGUUGCUGACGGUACUCUAAGAAUAAGCACCGGCUAACUACGUGCCAGCAGCCGCGGUAAUACGUAGGGUGCGAGCGUUAAUCGGAAUUACUGGGCGUAAAGGGUGCGCAGGCGGUUGAGUAAGACAGAUGUGAAAUCCCCGAGCUUAACUCGGGAAUGGCAUAUGUGACUGCUCGACUAGAGUGUGUCAGAGGGAGGUGGAAUUCCACGUGUAGCAGUGAAAUGCGUAGAUAUGUGGAAGAACACCGAUGGCGAAGGCAGCCUCCUGGGACAUAACUGACGCUCAGGCACGAAAGCGUGGGGAGCAAACAGGAUUAGAUACCCUGGUAGUCCACGCCCUAAACGAUGUUAACUAGUUGUUGGGAAGUAAAAUUCUCAGUAACGCAGCCAACGCGAGAAGUUAACCGCCUGGGAAGUACGGUCGCAAGACUAAAACUCAAAGGAAUUGACGGGGACCCGCACAAGCGGUGGAUGAUGUGGAUUAAUUCGAUGCAACGCGAAAAACCUUACCUACCCUUGACAUGUCAGGAAGCUCUUGUAAUGAGAGCGUGCCCGCAAGGGAGCCUGAACACAGGUGCUGCAUGGCUGUCG
rnacentral:rRNA from 1 species